UAAGAAUCCAAAAUUCUAUAGAAAAAAAAGGGACUUUAAAAUUCUAACAAUGUAAUUCAGAGAAAAAAGUUUCCUCAUUGAUCUGAGCACAAAUCUUUUGAAAUCCUAGAAAUGUAUUAAUCAUUUUCACUUCAAUGUAAUAUAAUAGUUUGGUUAAUACCUCACUUUUUGUGUCUUUAGGGGAAAAAUAUCUAAUGGGAACUCCGCCUCUGAUUUCGGCUGAAAUAUUUUUAGGAAAGAUGGUGAAGUAAGAAACUUGUCUUGCUUUAAUGCAAACAAGUGGAGAGCUUGCUGAAAAGACCCAAGUUCCUCUUGAUAGUGAAGAUGGUAAUUGGAACACCUUCCUUAUUCAGGUCUUCAGUGAGAUCCACCAGCUUUUUGAUUCUCAUUGGUCAUGUGCAUUGGCCAGGAUUCAAAACAAUCAAGCCAUGAAAAAAGCAGGACGUCAGUAAUCCAAAUGCAGAGGACCUGCAACUGCAGAGUGUUCUGUUUAGAAGCAAGGACUGGGAUAAAAGGGGUUUGGGCAAUGGCCAAGAAGAACUUGAAGAAUUUCAAGUCUUCUCUUCCUAGCUAAAAUAGUUUGAACAAUUUAGUUAACUCCUCUCUUUCCGUUUGCUUAUUUAUAACACAAAGUCAAUGAUACUUACUCACAAGGUAACUUGAGAUGACUUAAUACACUAAAAUUAUUUUUCAAAGUAUUACUCAUAUUAUAAGAAUGCAAUAGAUCUUAGUAAUUACUGCUAAAUAUACUUCCCUUAUGCCUAUUCUGUUUCUAAUAUAUGAUUCUGAAUGCUAAAUUCAGGGUACAUCUUAAGGGGAGAUUAACAUAGAUUGUUUUUGAUUCUUCCAGAUGAAUUGGAAGUUAUUUCUCAAUAACUUAAUAUCCUGCUACAAACUGAACCCUAAUUUCAUGGUUUAUUUUAUUUUAUUGAGAUUCAUCUACCAGACUUUUCUUAUGGUUACUCACUCCAUAACCGCUCUCCUUUCAUCCAUUUGAGAAUUUAUUUGAUGCCAUUCAGUUGGAUGCUUCUAAUGACACACCUUGAGGCAGAACAGUGGGCAUGUUUGAAUAGGGUCCAUUUCAUGAUUGUUUCUUCUACUAAUUUAUUCACUAUUUUCUCAAAGUAGGAGAAGGGAUUAGAAGGAUGCAAGCUCUUUCAAUAGAUCUUAUAUUGUUCUGAUCUCUGCAAAUCAUAAGAAUUUUUAGAGAUUCAAGUUACAUUAUUUUCAUUUUUAAGUUUCAUAUUGAGAACUACAGUUCCUAAAUCUUGGACAGAAAUAUCACUUGGUGUUUUGUUCCACCAUUGUAGUGAUUACAAGUUGAGUGAUCACACUAUACUUACUCAUGUUGUACUAAGUUCAAAUUAGGUUAUAUGAGUCUAAAUUGCCCUUAUAGUUAAAUAUUAAGAAAACAAAAUAAAGUGAAAAUUAAAGAAAGAGAUUAGCAGGACUGUGGUGAGUGAAGGAAGGACCAGAAUCAAUCACAUAUGAGCCAUAGAAGAGAGAGAAAAAAUGCUAUCAAGACACCAAACUAAGCUUAAGUGGGAGGAAUAGAAAACUAAGUAAAUACAUACUGAAGAGCUUUGGACUUCCCAGUAACAAAUGACCCAAAGUCAUGUAUUGAUAGGAAGAGAAUAAAGGUUCAUUUGGAACUUUGGAACUUGAUAGUAGAUAUGUUUGUCAAACUAGGUCUAGGAAGUUCCACUUAAAAAUUAAUGACACCUGCUUUUUCUAUUAUGCAGUACCCUUUUAGCCCAUUAUUGUAAAAUAUAAAAUUAAAGUAAUGGAAAAAGGUAAACUUAUUCACACUUGGAUGGUGUUUUUUGGCCAUCUACUCACAUAUCGCUCAAAUCUCUGAAGUGAAUUGAUCCAUCUCAAAUGAAGAAUAUAUCAAAAUAAAUAACUGUAUACCAAGUUCCUUUGUUUGUACUUCAUCUUUCCUCUCUUUUUCUCUUUCUCUUCCUAGUAUUCGCUCUCCUUUUCUUUUCCUUUAUGGGGCUGCAACUUUAGUAUGAAAGUUUGAGAAUGAGAGUGACUGCAAAUUAGAAGGCAUUUUUAUGGUUUCGGAAAACUAAGACACAAGGAAGGUAAUCAGGGGAAAGAAAGCAAAAUGCUGGUCUUUCUAGUAAGGAAGGAAGUUCCUCAGGUAUCCAAACUAUCUCCCCAUGGGAACAAGUGGACAGGAUUUCACAAAGGAAGCAUUCCUAAAUAAUAUGUCAUGUACCCAUUUAUUAUUUUUUUAAAUUUAUACAAAAAAUAUAGAGUAUGAUCAAGAGGAAUUCCUUGUGAUAAUGUUCAUACAUGCACAUGGCAUUGUUUGCUUAAUUUCGUUCUGCUGUUCCUCCCCUUUCCCAUUCCUUCUCCCUCUACAUCAUUUCCCUUCUACUUCACUGUUCUCAUUCCAUUUUCAUGAGCUCCUCCCCCCAUUUUUAAUUCAUUAUUUCUCCUUAGCUUUUGCAUAUAAGAGAAAACAUUUAACCCUUCACUCUCUGAGUCUGGCUUAUUUCAGUUAGCAUGAUGUUCUCCAAUUCCAUGCAAUCCAUUUACCAGCCAAUGACAUAAUUUCACUCUUCUUUUGAUCAAAUAAAAUUGUGUGCAUACACCAUAUUUUAUUUAUUCAAUAGUAUAU
rnacentral:lncRNA from 1 species